rnacentral:rRNA from 1 species
AGUGAACGCUGGCGGCGUGCCUAAUACAUGCAAGUCGAACGGAGUGGCGCACGGGUGAGUAAGGUAUAGCUAAUCUGCCCUACACUAGAGGACAACAGUUGGAAACGGCUGCUAAUACUCUAUAGUGUAGGAUGAGGCUAUAUUGUAUCAGCUAGUUGGUGAGGUAAUGGCUCACCAAGGCUAUGACGCAUAACUGGUCUGUGAGGAUGAUCAGUCACUCUAGAACUGAGAGACUGUGCAGACUCCUCCGAGAGGCAGCAAUAGGGAGUGAUGCUCAUUGAGGGCAACUCUGAGGCGGCACCGCCCCGUGGAGGAUGGCACUUUACGUAGCGUAAAGUCCAUUUGUUAGGAAUACGGUACCUGGCCAGUAAGCACCGGCUAGCUCCGGACCAGCAGCCGCGGUAAUAC